AGACUGCCCAGAACACAGGGGGCUCUGGGAUGGAAAGGAAUCCCAUUUGGUAAUUAAUGAAAGCUUCUAAUAAGAUUUAGUCUACUCAGCAAAUGCAGUGAGCUAGAUCUGCACUUGAAAAGACACUAACACACGCUGGUGAGGAUGGGGAGAAAAGAUAAUUCUUACAUACUGUUGAGGGGAAUGUAAAUUAGUACAGCCACUUUGGGCAACACUUUGGAGGUUCCUUAAAAAACUAAAAAUGGAGCUACCAUAUCAUCUAGUAAUCCCACCAUUGGGUAUAUACCCCCCAAAAAACGAAAUCAUGCAUCAAGAGAUAUCUCCACUUCUACGUUUGUUGCUGCACUGCUUACAAUAGCUGAGAUUUGGAAGCAACCUAAGUGUCCACCAAUGGAUAAGGAAAAUGCAGUCAUACACUCAACCAUACUAUUACUAUUCAACCAUAAAAAGAAUGAGAUUCUAUCAUUUGCAAUAAUAUGCAUGGAACUGGACAACGUUGUGUUAAGUAAAAUAAGCCAGGCACAGGAAGGCAAACACAAAAAUACAGCUUUUUGCAGCUUUGGUUGUGGAAUCUAAAAAUCAAAACAAUUAAGCUCAUGAACAUAGAGAAUACAAGGAUGGUUACCAGAGGCUGGGAAGGAUAGUGGGGAGCUGCUGGGGAGUUAGGUAUGGUUAACAGGUACAAAAAAAAUUUAGAAAGAAUGAAUCAGACCGACUAUUUGAUACCACAAUAGGGUGACUGUGUGUUAUUUUUAAAUGUACAGUUAUUAAAGAGUAUAAUUAGAUUGCUUGUAACUCAAAGGAUAAAUGCUGGGUGGGAUGGAUACAUCAUUCCCCAUGAGGUACUUAUUUGAUACAGUAUGCCUGCAUCAACACAUUUCAUGUGCCCCAUAAAUACAUACCCCUAAUAUGUACACCAAAAUUUUAAAAAAAUAAAAAUAAACUAAAAGAGAUAGAGACAAUCGGGCGAUGCUCCCUGAGGCAUUGCCUGUGAAGCCAGCAGUGGGCAGCAUCUCCAUUCUCUGUUUUAUGGGCCCAGGAGCUAACUGCAGGCAAGGCAGGGUGAAUGGGUUAUCACAAAGGGAUAUAGUGGCUUUGCUGUCAAUAAAAAUUAGUGAGAAUAAAGAAAAAUUAUUAAAGUGUUUUUUAAAGCAAGUGGGAAAUACAGUUUUCUGCAACUUUGGAAAGUUUCCUUGCAUGCAGUGUUCUCCCCCCUUUUCAAUCCUUUGAGGCCUCCUUAGGGGUUCCUUCUGGGUUUUAUCCACUUAUCGAUUGAGCAAGUAGUGUCAAAGUGUCAGUAGAUGCCACUGUGCUAACAUAAGUGUUCAUGGAAAUAAAAUUAACAGUGCAUCUCUGCCUCAAAGACUAUGCGAUCUAUUAUUAAAGAUAGGAAAAUAGAGGAUUGCAACCUGAUAUUGGUUCUAUGGUAGUUAAGCACAGCUCAAACCAGAGGGAAGGUAAACAAGAAACCCUCCUGAUGAAGAUACUUCGAACAAAUGUGAUUCUGUCUCCUAACUUUCCCUGGAUGUGGCAAAGCACUUACUCUGCUUUUACCUGCCUACACCUGGGUGGCUGUGCAUGUUGAGGAUAUAUUCGUAAACAGUUUGUGCUUUGGCAGAUGGAAACAUGCUAUUGCGAAAUAGUAGCUCUAUUGUAGACUUGAAGGUGGGAUGAGAAGCAUUUAUAAGAGACAUUUAUUUGCAGAGGAGACUUGCCCAAGCCUCCCUUAUUGCAAGCCAUUGGCUCAAAUGAAGACUCACAAGGAAGCAGACCUCCCACCCAGUGUUCGGUCAGAAGUGACAGAACUGGCUCCCAAACCAAGUGCUACCACGUGAAUGUGACACUCGUUUCUCUUGCUCCAUCUCCAGUAGCAAUCUUUUGUUCUACUGCCCACAAUUUAAGCUCUAAGGUUACAUAAUUUUAUAAGACAUAUUUUAUGAAAGACAAAUUCUUGACAAAUUAAGCAAUUCGUAAUGUUAACAAUUACUUCUACCUAUUUGUGCCCCCUCAACGUUCAAACUCGUGGUUGCCAUUAUAACUUUUUGGAAUUGGUUUCUUGCCUGUCUGCUUUAUGUUUUUGACCUGGUAUUUCACUCCUCUUCUGAAUCAGUUUCCUGCCUCAAACUCCACGGCUUCUUCGAGGGCUGUGUGUCUUAACUAAAACCAUUCUUUCCCUUCAUCGGGUUCAAAGAAGGAAGCUCUAUCAUGAGUCACUCUGAAUAGGCAAACCUCCUCUUAAUAAAACUACCUAACUUCAGUCUCCCAAUUGUCUAGUUGUUCAUUCACCGAUUUGUUUAUAACAGACAGAAGGGACAAGAAAUAAGAGACCAUAUGCAAUGAAUGCAUACAACCAAGCGAACAUACUUCAUAAUUACGCCAAAGUAUCACAUCACAGUCAGCCCAACACUUUACACAUUCUACUUUAUACUUCUAGUUCUGGGGGGGAAA
ensembl:lncRNA